UUGGAGGGCAAGUCUGGUGCCAGCAGCCGCGGUAAUUCCAGCUCCAAUAGCGUAUAUUAAAGUUGUUGCAGUUAAAAAGCUCGUAGUUGAAUUUCGGGAUCAAUAUGCCGGUCAUGCCUUGGUAUGCACUGGUAUCUUUGAUUUCUCCCUUCUGACGAACUUUGAUGUCAUUAAUUUGGUGUCAUAGGGAAUCAGGACUGUUACUUUGAAAAAAUUAGAGUGUUUAAAGCAAGCUCACGCUUGAAUACAUUAGCAUGGAAUAAUGAAAUAGGACGUUUGAUUCUAUUUUGUUGGUUUCUAGGAUCGACGUAAUGAUUAAUAGGGAUAGUUGGGGGCAUUAGUAUUCAAUUGUCAGAGGUGAAAUUCUUGGAUUUAUUGAAGACUAACUACUGCGAAAGCAUUUGCCAAGGAUGUUUUCACUAAUCAAGAACGAAAGUUAGGGGAUCGAAGACGAUCAGAUACCGUCGUAGUCUUAACCAUAAACUAUGCCGACUAGGGAUCGGAUGAUGUUAAUUUUUUAAUGACUCAUUCGGCGCCUUACGGGAAAC
rnacentral:rRNA from 1 species